GACAGAGGAUGCAAGCGUUAUCCGGAAUGAUUGGGCGUAAAGCGUCUGUAGGUGGCUUUUUAAGUCCGCCGUCAAAUCCCAGGGCUCAACCCUGGACAGGCGGUGGAAACUACCAACGCUGGAGUACGGUAGGGGCAGAGGGAAUUUCCGGUGGAGCGGGUGAAAUGCGGUAGAGAUCGGAAAGAACACCAACGGGCGAAAGCACUCUGCUGGGCCGACACUGACACUGGAGAGACGAAAGCUAGGGGAGCGAAUGGGG
rnacentral:rRNA from 1 species